rnacentral:rRNA from 1 species
UGAGGAAUAUUGGUCAAUGGUCGGGAGACUGAACCAGCCAAGCCGCGUGAGGGAUGAAGGUACAGAGUAUCGUAAACCUCUUUUGUCAGGGAACAAAAGGCGCCACGUGUGGCGCUCCGAGUGUACCUGAAGAAAAAGCAUCGGCUAACUCCGUGCCAGCAGCCGCGGUAAUACGGAGGAUGCGAGCGUUAUCCGGAUUUAUUGGGUUUAAAGGGUGCGUAGGCGGCGAGUUAAGUCAGCGGUAAAAGCCCAGGGGCUCAACCCCGGCGAGCCGUUGAAACUGCAGUGCUAGAGAAGGCGAGAGGUACGCGGAAUGCGCAGUGUAGCGGUGAAAUGCUUAGAUAUUGCGCAGAACUCCGAUUGCGAAGGCAGCGUACUGGCGCCUGACUGACGCUGAGGCCCGAAAGCGUGGGGAUCGAACAGGAUUAGAUACC